rnacentral:rRNA from 1 species
UACGAAGGGGGCUAGCGUUGCUCGGAAUUACUGGGCGUAAAGCGCACGUAGGCGGAUUGUUAAGUCGGGGUGAAAUCCUGGAGCUCAACUCCAGAACUGCCUUCGAUACUGGCGAUCUCGAGUUCGGGAGAGGUGAGUGGAACUGCGAGUGUAGAGGUGAAAUUCGUAGAUAUUCGCAAGAACACCAGUGGCGAAGGCGGCUCACUGGCCCGAUACUGACGCUGAGGUGCGAAAGCGUGGGAGCAACAGGAU